GAACUGGUUCGCGAUAGAGGGUUUUUCCACGGUCUGCCCUCGAUUGGGCCUAUUGGAUUCCCUUUCGCCUUUCUCCUCUGCUUCUGGCCAGGAGCAGCAGCACGGAAAAAUCGCCUCCUUUGUCCGCACUUGGCUCGAACUCUCCGACGGACUGCCCUCCGGGUUCUGAAGCGGAAAACUCUGCGGCGAAGUUCAGCGAGUCCGGGGAGCGGGCAAAGCGCAUGUGCCGGCUGUGGCCCGUUACUGCCCCAAAACAAAACAAAGCCCGAGCGGAGAGAGUGAAAGCUAACUGCAGUCAGCUGGCGUCGUCGAAAGUUUCAUCCCCGAAAAUCAGUUUGUUUACCAUCCUGGCGGAGCUUUUCAUGGGCAAAGUCGACUUGGGAAUACCCUUUGUGAAACAAGGCGGUGAGUUUGUAUAGUAAAUUUAUUUCGGCUUCUUCGCGUUAGACCAGAAUACAAUUGAAAUUUGGAAACAAUUGUUAAGUUUAAAUUUAGUUUACUUAGUAUUUUUGCUUUGACUUGUACGAACAAUAAAUACACACGCAAGACCGUUAAAUGUAAUUAUCAAUAAUUGAAUUUUAUAUAUGUAUGCGUGUUUAUACUAUAGAUGAGCCGGCGACCCUCGGAUCCCGGCCCAAGAUCACGGCGCCCAAGGACUUUUAUCCUGGCCCGGAGCUGAUCGGCAAUAAUUGAUGUCAAUGAUUUAGAAUGGGAUACUACUAUAUAAAAGGUAAUUACUGCUGGACUAAUCGCAUUCAUUUACAUUUAAAAGCGGGUUAACAAUCAAACAAAAA